rnacentral:rRNA from 1 species
CCUACGGGAGGCAGCAGUGAGGAAUAUUGCUCAAUGGCCGUAAGGCUGAACCAGCCAAGUAGCGUGAGGGAAGACUGCCCUAUGGGUUUUAAACCUCUUUUAUGCGGGGAUAAAGGUGUCCACGUGUGGCUGUUUGCAGGUACCGCAUGAAUAAGGACCGGCUAAUUCCAUUCCAGCAGCCGCGGUAAUACGGAAGGUCCGGGCGGUAUCCGGAUUUAUUGGGUUUAAAGGGCGCGUAGGCGGGUCUUUAAGCGUGCCGUGAAAUCUUGUGGCUCAACCAUGAGAGUGCGGCGCGAACUGGAGACCUUGAGUGCGGGGGAGGCAGGCGGAAUUCGUGGUGUAGCGGUGAAAUGCGUAGAUAUCACGAAGAACACCGAUGGCGAAGGCAGCCUGCUGGAGCGUUACUGACGCUGAAGCUCGAAAGCGUGGGGAUCGAACAGGAUUAGAGACCCUUGUAGUC